CUCGAGGUGACCCCAGGGUCGCCUCACGCCGGCGGCUGGAGGUCGGGGAGUGGGAAGGCGCAGAGCAGGCCCUGGUAACCACUGGGAAUCCGAGCUGAGGGUCCGGGACAGACGCGACACCGCACCACCCGGGGCUGAGCUGAGCCUGGGUGAGAAAGGCCAUAAAUGAUUAUUCUUUCCAGACAUUUGGCAGGGAGAGGGAGAGAAAAGUAGGCCUGAGUCCAAAGGGUUGGAAGAGGAAAAAAGGGUAUUUGGGGUUUGGUUUUGUUUUUAAUUUGUUCCAGUUUGAGGGAGAGACCCGUAGAAUAGUAAAUGGUGCAAAGUCUCAGGAAAGGAGAUGGGAAGGGAGAGAGAGAAGUGAGAGAAGAGGGAACCUCUUCCUGCCAGAGUUAAAGGAUGCUUAGAGAUGAAAAGAUUUUGAAGUGAGGAAGCAGGCAUGUUCCUCUGACCAGCUGCCUGGAUCAUAAACCAGGACUAGGAGUUGAACCCAGGACUUUUCCAGUGAGCUACAUCCCUAACCCUUUUUUAAUUUUGAGACAGGGUCUCACUAAAUUGCCCAGGAUAGGUUAGAGGUUUUGAUCUCCUGCCUCAGCCUCCUGAGUGCUGAGAUUACAGGUGUGCAACACCACACCUGGCUUAAUUUUUUUUUGUUUUUUGACACAAAGUCUCCAUAUGUGGACCACACUAGCCAUGAGCUCACAGUGUAGCCCAGGCUGGCCUUGAGCUCAUGAUCUUCCUGUCUCAGGCUCCAGAGAGUACUGGAGUUAUGGUGUGAGUCACCAUAACAGGCUUCAAUUACUACAAUUUUUAUUUACUAGACCACAGCAGAGUUUUGGGGAGAGAGCAAAUUAGCAAAGAGUGAAAACAAAAUGAAAAGAAAAAUAUGCACCUUAAAUCAGGCAUUUGGAAACUUUUUGAUUGUGAUUCAAAAGUAGAUAUAAACAUGUAGGCCUGGCAUGGUGGUACUCAUUUGUAAGCCCAGCACUCUGGUAAGCUGAGGCAGGAGGAUUGCAAGUUUGAACCCAGCCUGAGCUAUUUAGCAAGAUCCUGUCUCAAGAAAGAAAAAAAGAAAAAAGACUGGGGGUGUAGCUUAGUGUGAAGGCCCUGAGUUCAAUCUGCAGUACUAAAAAAAAGAAAAUCUCAUCCAAAAAUACAUACCUGUGACUACGUGCACACAUUUCUAAGACAAAGGUUUCAUGAAGUAUUAUUUUAUGCAAUGAAUGCUAAUAUUUUCAACCUUGUUUUCUCUUUAAUGUGGAUCAGGACUUAUCACAUUGACUCCGUUAUUCACUACAGUACUGGGUCACAACAUGCCUUUAAGAACAUUGAAAAAGAAGUACUAUUCCCCACUGUCUUUGUACCUCUCAUUUUGAAUAGUCCUAGCUGGUCACCUUAAGCUGGCCAUGUUUACAUGUCCCAGAAUGCAACAGGACAGAUGAGCCUCCCAGGGUGCUGUGGGGGAGGUGAGGGAAGGGUUGGCAGAAGCCAGAUUGGGUUCCUGUUCAGUCAGUAAAAUUUCCUAAUAUUAUUAGAGGAUAUAAAUAAUUUCUUCUUUGUUCAGCAUGAGCUACACGUUGAACUUAAACAAGGCAUACUGCCUGCAAACUAACAUUUUUUCAUUUGAAAGAACAAAAUCAUGAACUAAAAUAAAAAGAAAAAUAAUGUAUCUUGAUUGUGACAGUUAUUAAUCAACUUUUUUUUUUAAGAAAGGGUCUCUGGUGGGGUGUUUAGCUCAGUGGUUCCGCCACCUGCCUCACAAGCACAAGGACCUGAGUUCUAUCCCCGGUACCAAAAAAACGCCCCCAAAAAUGGUCUCACUAUGUGGUUCAGGCCUUGAACUAACUAUGUAGCCCAGGCUGGCUUCAAACUCAGUGAUCUCCUGCUUCAGCCUCCCCAGUGCUGGGAUUACAGGUGUGCACCACCGCACCUCACUCUAAGUUGUAUUAUUAUAGAAGCUAUAAAUAUGAUUCCUUCCUUAUAAAUUUGGAACCAAUAAAAAGAUGAAAAUAUCAACUUUAUUACCAAUAAAGCUGAACUGAAGAAGGUGGAUUAGAUGGUGACCAAUAGGCUUUUUUCUUUUUAACCAGUUUGUUUGCUUUGUUUUGGUACGGGGAACAAACUCAGGACCUUGAGCUUUCGAGGCAGGCAGCCGGCCCACUGAGCUAAAUCCCGGGCCCUAGGGUUUUUUUUUUUUGAACUAAGGAUUGAACCCCACCCCUACAUUCUGAGCUAUAUCCCCAGACCAUUUUAUGAUUUUUUAUUUUGCUAAAUCCCUGAGUUCCUCAGGUUGGACUCAAACUUGUAAUCCUCCUGCCUCAGCUUCUAAUAGGCUUUGGGGGUGGGGGAGAUAAGGUCUUAUGCAGCACCACACCUGGCUUCCAAUAGCCUUUUUAUUUUUUAAAUUUUUUUUUUUUGUACUGGGGAUCGAACUCAGGACCUUGAGCUUGCAAGGCAGGCGCCAGAACCACUGAGCUAAAUCCCCAGCCCAAUUUUUUAUUUUUUGAUACCAGGGAUCAAACUCAGGUCCUUGUGCUUGUGAGGCAGGCGGUAGAACCACUGAGCUAAAUCCCCGGCCCUCUAAUAGCCUUUUUAAUAUUUUUCCCUGAAUUAAAGUUAUUUCCCCAGAACUCCAGCCUCCUCUUUGCAGAGAUCUAGCAAUUUUAACCACAUCUAAUUUUGAAAGUGAAUUUUCUGGGCCUGGGAUUUAGCUCAGUGGUUUCGCCGCCUGCUGCACAAGCGCAAGGACCCGAAUUCGAUCCUCAGUACAAAAAAAAAGUGGAUUUUUCUCUAAAAGCAGGCAGGGCUAAAUUCAACAGGUUAAGUCACCCCUGGAAGAACCAAGGCAAAUUCUCCCCUACCUGCCCUUCUAGAGAAACAAAAGGAAAUAUGGAUCUGCAUUCUCUACCCCCUGCCCGAGUAAACUGGACUUGGCCCAAUAGUUAAGCAAUUAAUUGGGAAAGUUUAUUUAAGCAGUUAAUUAUUUUUUAAAAUGGUGAAUAGGGCCAGAUGAGGUGGCACAUGCUUGCAAUCCCAGUACUCGGGAGGCUGAGGCAGAAGGAUUGCAUUGAGUUCAAGGCCAGCCUGGACUGCAUAGAGACCCUGUCUCAAAAAAAAAAAAAAAAAAAAACCUCUCAAAAAAACAAAUAAAUAAAAGUCAAUAGAUACCCUAAUAAAAGUUGGAAACUAUAAGGAUCGUCCAGUUACCAAUCUUUUUUUGUUUGUUUUGUUUUGAUUUUUGAGACAGGGUCUUGCUGUGCAGUGCAGGCCUGUCUUGAACUCAACAGGUAGCCAAAGUUGGCCUUGGACUCACAGUGAUCCUCCUGCCUUAAUUGCCUGGGUGCUAGGAUUACAGGUGUGCACCACCAUGCCCAGCUUUUAACAGUCUUUAGAUGUAGAACCAAACCUUUUCUGCUGAAUGUGGUCCUUGAGCCGUGUGUGUGUGUGUGUGUGUGUUACUGAGGACUGAACCCAGGGCUAUCACACUGAGCUAUAUUCCCAGCCCUUUUUUUUUUUUUUUUGGUACUGGGGAUCUAACUCGGGACCUUGCACUUUCGAGGCAGGUGGUGGAACCACUGAGCUAAAUAAAUCCCCAGCCCUCCCAGCCCUUUCUUAAAUCUUUUUUGGGGGGUGGGGUUUGAGACAGGGUCUCGCUUGUCCAGCCUGGUUUUGAACUCACUAUGUAGUCCAGGCUGGCCUGGAACUCAGAGCAAUCCUCUGGCCUCAACCUCCUGAGUGCUGGAAUUACAGGCAUGCACCACUAUGCCCAGCUCCCAGCCCUUUAAAAAAAAAUUUUUUUUUCAUUUUGAGACAGAGUCUCAGUAAAUCACUAAGCUACCCAGGCUGGGUUCAAACUUUCAAACCUGCCUCAACUUCCCAGAGUGCUAGGAUUAUAGGCAUGGGUCACCACACCUGGUUCAACACUAAUUUUCAACUGGUCUUUAUUUCCAAACCUAAUAUUUCCAAAGCAUUCAACUGACAUGUCAUAGAAACAGCUUUCUUUUCAUGUUUAUGUUUCAUCAGCUCAUAUAAUUUUAAUUAAAUUGAUUGCACAGUGGCAUACAGCUGAUAUAAGCAGGCUUAGGACCACACACAACAGACCCUUGUCAGGAGUAUUCGUCCUCUGGCAGGAAGGUGUUCCAGAUAGUAUUCAGCAGUCCAAAGCAUUCACAUGUGUAUUAGGAGAAGGGAAAGUGCUGGUUACAGAGUCCAUUAGAGGGAGAGUAAUGCUCAUAGAUUAGUAUGAUCAACUCAACUCUACGUGCAUUUAAUUUAACAUUCUUCUCCCAUUAUUUAUUCAUUUUAGAAUCUUUUUCUGCCCCCAGGCGUGGGCAUGGCUGUGAUCCCAACACUCUGGGAGGCUGAGACAGGAAGAUCACAAGUUUUGAGUUUCAUCAGGGCAACUUGACUGUGCUGGGCACAGAAGCAGCCAAGAACUGAAGAAGGGGAAGUUCAUGUGUAAACAAGGCAAAGCGGCUGGAGGGAAGACUGGGGUCUUGCUGUGUAGUUCAUGCUGUCCUUGAACUCACUGUGUAGCCCAGGCUGUCUUCGAACUCACAGUGAUCCUCCUGCUUCAGCCAUGACACCCAGCUCCCUUCAGUCCCAUUUAGUUAAAAAUGACUUUACUCUUUCUUUCUGUCUGUCGGUCUUUCUGUCUUUCAUAUUGACUGAUUGAUUUUUGCGGUGCCAGGACUCAAACCUAGGGCCUCCCAGGGCUUUGUGCGUGCCAGGCCAGUGAUCCAUACCCCAGUAGCCCCCAAAAUGGUCUUAAAUGGCUCAGAAUUGCUGCACUGUCAGUAAAGUUCCAAUAGCAGAUCAUCCACUGCAUUAGCACCCUACACUGCCUAUGCAUUCCCAGUGCUAAUGAGCUGGUGCAACUGGUCCAUUCAGGGAAAGUGUAGCCUUGUAAAUUAGAACGGUCCUUUUAAAAAGCAAUUUGACACUGCUGUGCUGAGCCUUAGUGGCGCUGUGGCUCCCUUCUGACUCAUCAGUACCACUCUUAGAAACUUUUUCUUGAGAAUGAUCCUCACCUAAAGAGAAGCCACAGCACAGCCCUGUUUACUGUCAUCUCAGCUGUGAUAACGAAAUUUGUAAACAUAAUAAAAUGGUUGAAGUAACUAAUACCACUCAACAUCAGUGUAACACUGAGAACACAAACAAGGGGGUAACUUGGAAAACAUUUGAUUACAUAGUAAAAAAGAUUCACCACAGUGUACCAAGAACCAGUGAACUGUAUACUUUAAAAGGAUGAAUUUUGUGAAUCAUGCCUCAAUUUUCUUCUUAAAAAGAGAAAUUGCAUAAUUUUGCUUUUGUAUCAGCCAAGAGCAGCAGGAAACAGAUGGACUUCUGAACAUGUGUAACUGAGGAGAGUUACUGCAGGGACAGUGUGUGGAGGUGUAGGUAGGGCUGAGAGGGAAGUGCCUUGGGUCUAGGAUCUGCUAGGAGCGCUACUAGUGUGAACCAGGAGGGUCAAGGGGAUGGGGCAGUUCCAAGUGCCCCCAGGCCACCCGGAGCUCUUCUCACCCGGGUGAGGGCAAAGACAUGUGGCCCUACCAAUGGUAGAACCAGGCCCGGGGUAUACUCAGGCCAGAGUGCUUUACCUAGUGUGUCCCAGGGCCUGGCUUCUAUCCCCAGCACCAGGAGAUUCCCCACCCCCCCCCAAAAAGCCAUUGUGAGAAUUAUCUGAGCAUGUGGCCAAGGGCUUCAGAGAAACGUGGAAAGCCAAGUUCAUCCAGAGAUAAAAAGCACAAGUAGAGCCGGGGAUGUGGCUCAGUGGCACCACAACGGCCUGGCAAGUGCAAGGUCCUGAGUUCAAUUCCCAGUACUGGAAAAAAAAAAAGUACAGGUAGAGGCCAGGCGUGGGCACAGGCUUGUAACCCAAGCAACUCUGGGAAGCUGAGUCAGGAGGACUGUAAGUUUGAGCUGAGCGUGUGCAACUCAGUGACUCAGCAAGACCCUGUCUCAAAAAAAUAAAAAAGGCUAAAGAUGUAACUCAGUGUGAAGGCUCUGGGUUCAGUCCUCAGUACCAGAAAAACAAAACACAGAGAAAGCUAGAAAACAGGUAUGACAUGUUGAGGGGGCAGAAAACAUUAGCUCAUGCUGAGACAAGGAUGAGGGCCAGAAGUGAGAUGAUUUUAUUGUUUCAUUGUUACAUUGAGCUGGAGUUGGAGCUAGGAAAGAGAUGAUCAAAGAUGUGUAAGUUCGAUUGGCCUGGAACAUUCCCAAGUCCUCCCCAUAGGCUAUUAGUCUAUAUUUCUCCUUCUAGCAAAACUUCAUGCCCUCAACAAAUAAUUAUGUGGUACCAUCCUGUGCCAGGAACUUCUAGGCCCUGGGGAUUUAGGAGGAAACAAAAUCCACCUGUUCUGUGGAGUUUACAUCCUGGUGGGGGCAGGCAGACAACAGAUAAAUAUGUCAAGCGGUGAUAACUGCCAUAGAGCAAAGCACAGGAAAGCAGAAAAAUAAAAUUCUGCCCAUUCUAUUACCUCUUACCAACUUCUUGAUUUGAAAGACACAGGUGCCCACACGCCAGAGCUCCUGAGUCUCGAGGCCCUUGGUUUCUCUCAUCUGGUCUAAGAUCACAGUAUCUAAUUGAUCUUCCUGCCUCAGCGUCCUCCAGCCCAUUCUCCACUCUGCCAUGAGAACCUGAAGCAAACUGUGUCCCAACCCUGUUGGGACUCUCCUUGUCUGUAAUGUGGACUAACAUCUAACGUGCUUGUCAGGGUCUCCUUCUUGUCUUCCGGAUCCAGCCUCUGCCUCAACCUCCCUCAUUCUCCUGGGGUUAUUUUUUUCUCCUGAAGUUAUUGACAAACCCACACUCUAAUUUCUGCACCUUUUUCAUGCUGCUUUUUCAAAUAAUGAUGGUUCCCAGAAAAGAAAAAAAGAUGUUCUUAGGAAAAAAAGAUUGAUUUUAAAAAUUGUCUCACUUUCAUAAAUUUUUUUUCCUUUUUAAAAUUUAUUUACUUCUUUAUUUGUUUAUUUUCAGUACUGAGCAUUGAACCCAGGGCCUUCAUACUAAGGUAUUGUAGGCUGGGCUGGAACCUAUAAUCCUCUUGCCUCAGCCUCCCUUGAGGCAAGAGGAUUACAGGUUCAGGGCUCACCUGGGCAAUAUAAUGACUUAGUGAGACCCUGUCUUUAAUAAUUAAUUAAAUGCCUGGGGAUGUAGCUCAGUGCAAAAGCCCUGGGUUUAAUCCCCAAUACAAAAAAAAAAAAACUUGUGAGACAGGGUCUAAGUUGACAGGGCUCAAACUGCAAUCCUCCUGAGACAGAAAAUUACAGCAUGGCAAAGCUAGCUGGGGAAAUAGAUGUGAUCUGUUAAUUACAAGAUCCCAAGACACAUGCAGAACAGUUUCCAAAGCCCUGCAUAUGGACUUUCAUGAGAACUCAAGCAG
ensembl:lncRNA